GGAAUAUUGGACAAUGGGGGCAACCCUGAUCCAGCCAUGCCGCGUGAGUGAUGAAGGCCCUCGGGUCGUAAAGCUCUGUGGAGGGGGACGAAAAAAAUGACGGUACCCUUUUAGCAAGCACCGGCUAACUCCGUGCCAGCAGCCGCGGAAAUACGGAGGUUGCAAACGUUGCCCGGAAUUAUUGGGCGUAAAGCGCACGUAGGUGGCAAGACAAGUCGGAUGUGAAAGCCCUCGGCUUAACCGAGGAAGUGCAUUCGAAACUGUCUAGCUUGAGUACAGGAGAGGAUCGCGGAAUUCCCGGUGUAGAGGUGAAAUUCGUAGAUAUCGGGAGGAACACCAGUGGCGAAGGCGGCGAUCUGGACUGAUACUGACGCUGAGACGCGAAAGCGUGGGGAGCAAAC
rnacentral:rRNA from 1 species